rnacentral:rRNA from 1 species
AGUCUAGAGCGUGAAAUCCCCGGGCUCAACCCGGGAACUGCGCUUGAUACUGGAAGACUAGAAUWCGGAAGAGGGUAGUGGAAUUCCCAGUGUAGAGGUGAAAUUCGUAGAUAUUGGGAAGAACACCAGUGGCGAAAGCGGCUACCUGGUCCGAUUUUGACGCUGAGGCGCGAAAGCGUGGGGAGCAAACAGGAUUAGAUACCCUGGUAGUCCACGCCGUAAACGAUGUCUGCUAGAUGUCGGGGGGUUGCCCCUCGGUGUCGC